CCUACGGGCGGCAGCAGUGGGGAAUAUUGGACAAUGGGGGCAACCCUGAUCCAGCCAUGCCGCGUGUGUGAAGAAGGCCCUCGGGUUGUAAAGCACUUUCAGUGAGGAAGAACGCCUGGUGGUUAAUACCCAUCAGGAAAGACAUCACUCACAGAAGAAGCACCGGCUAACUUCGUGCCAGCAGCCGCGGUAAUACGGAGGGUGCGAGCGUUAAUCGGAAUUACUGGGCGUAAAGCGCGCGUAGGUGGCUUGAUAAGCCGGUUGUGAAAGCCCCGGGCUCAACCUGGGAACGGCAUCCGGAACUGUCAAGCUAGAGUGCAGGAGAGGAAGGUAGAAUUCCCGGUGUAGCGGUGAAAUGCGUAGAGAUCGGGAGGAAUACCAGUGGCGAAGGCGGCCUUCUGGACUGACACUGACACUGAGGUGCGAAAGCGUGGGUAGCAAACAGGAUUAGAUACCCUAGUAGUC
rnacentral:rRNA from 1 species